UGUACCGGUUUGUGGUACUGAAACAUUUAAUCGGUUUACUGCCGGUUUAGCUAAGUAUUUGUAAGGCACUUUGCCAUUUCGGAAAACCUAAUGAAAUGAAUACUUUCCUAAUCUAUCUCUGUCUCUCUCUCAUUUACGCUGUCGCCUCCAUCCUUGUCCAUUAAACCCGUUUGACCUGAGUCAUGAAAGCCAAAACCUAGACUAGCAAAAAAAAUACAUAGACCUAGCGAUAAACCCUAGAAUUACCAAUGAAUAAGCGAAAAAUUUGAAACGGGUCAAAAUAUCACAAUGAGUUGACGACAAUAAACCUUACUGUUUCGCUUGUGGGCACUAAAUGGUAAUAAAUAUUAUAGAAUAUAAUUUGAGUUGUU